ACUCAGCUGAUGAGUCCCAAAUAGGAUGAGACACGCGUCCUGCAU
rfam:Schistosoma margrebowiei strain Zambia genome assembly, scaffold: SMRZ_scaffold0000070